rnacentral:tRNA from 3 species
GCGGAUGUGGCGGAAUUGGCAGACGCGCACGGUUCAGGUCCGUGUGACCACCAGUCAUGAGGGUUCGAGUCCCUCCAUCCGCACCA